UGAAGUAAGUAAGGGCGUACGGUGAAUGCCUUGGUGCCAACAGGCGAAGAAGGACGCGGCAAGCUGCGAAAAACCUCGGGAAGCUGCAAGCAAGCGAUGAUCCGGGGGUGUCCGAAUGGGGUAACCUGACUGGGGUAAUACCUGGUCGUUCAUACCUGAAUACAUAGGGUAUGAAACGCAAUACCCGCUGAAGUGAAACAUCUCAGUAAGCGGAGGAAAAGAAAGAGAAAUCGAUUCCGUAAGUAGUGGCGAGCGAAAGCGGAUGGAGCCCAAACCGAAGGUACUCCUUCGGGGUUGUAGGACCACGACAUAUUCGACCAUAGUGGAUAGUAGAACAGUCUGGAAAGGCUGGCCAUAGAAGGUGAAAGCCCUGUAGACGAAAUCCAGAGUGGGAAUUAGUGGUAUCCUGAGUAAUACAUCACACGUGGAACGAUGUAUGAAUCAGCGCGGACCACCGCGCAAGGCUAAAUACUAGUUGGCGACCGAUAGUGAACAAGUACCGCGAGGGAAAGGUGAAAAGAACCGCUGUGAGCGGAGUGAAAUAGAACCUGAAACCGUAUGUCUACAAAGUGUCAGAGCAGAGCAAUCUGCGAUGGCGUGCCUUUUGUUUAAUGAGUCUGCGAGUCAGUGUUUGUGGCAAGACUAAGGGCUUCCGGCCCGGAGUCGCAGCGAAAGCAAGUCCGAAUAGGGCGCAUUAAGUCGCAGGUACUGGACCCGAAGCGGAGGUGACCUACCCUUGGCCAGGUUGAAGCAUGGGUAAAACCAUGUGGAGGACCGAACAGGUGAACGUUGAAAAGUUCUCUGAUGAGCUGAGGGUAGGAGUGAAAGGCUAAUCAAACCCCGUGAUAGCUGGUUCUCUUCGAAAUGCAUUUAGGUGCAGCGUCACGUGCUGAUGCGCGGGGGUAGAGCACUGACAAGGCUAGGGGGCACACCCGCUUACCAAACCUUAUCAAACUCCGAAUACCGUGCAAUGGAACGUGGCAGUGAGACAGUGGGGGAUAAGCUUCAUUGUCGAGAGGGAAACAACCCAGACCAGCAGCUAAGGUGCCUAAAUAACGCUGAGUGGAAAGGAUGUGGGAUUACACAGACAGUGAGGAUGUUGGCUUAGAAGCAGCCACCAUUUAAAAAAUGCGUAAUAGCUUACUCAUCGAGUGAUCCUGCGCCGAAAAUGAUUGGCGAUCAAGCGUUAUACCGAAGCUCUGGACUUUGCCGCAAGGCAGAGUGGUAGAAGAGCGUUGCAUGCGCAUUGAAGGGUGAUGGCGACUGACCCUGGAGCGCAUGCAAGUGAGUAUGCAGACAUGAGUAACGUAAAGCCGGGUGAAAUCCCCGGCCGCCGUAAACCCGAGGUUUCCAGGGCAACGUGUUUCGUCCCUGGGUUAGCCGGGACCUAAGCCGAGGCCGAGAGGCGUAGGCGAUGGAUAUCAGGUUAAUAAUCCUGAGCUCGCGACCCUUAAACUGGGGGGACGCAUGAGAAGAGAUGACCAGGUUAUUGAAUUCCGAGCUGGGUCCACGGACCCAGCGCAUCAUCAAAUCGAGUGCCAAGAAAAGCCCCAGCGUAUGCUAAGCGACCCGUACCGCAAACCGACACAGGUGGGUGGGUAGAAUAUACCAAGGCGUAAGAGUGAAACCUGGUUAAGGAACUCGGCAAAUUAGCCCCGUAACUUCGGAAGAAGGGGUGCCUGCAGCGAUGCAGGCCGCAGAGAAAUGGCCCAACCGACUGUUUAUCAAAAACACAGCACUCUGCAAAGACGCAAGUCGAAGUAUAGGGUGUGACACGUGACCAAUGCCGAAAGAUUAAGGCAAGGGGUUAGCCGCAAGGCGAAGCUCUGAACCCAAGUCCCGGUGAAUGUCGGCCGUAACUAUAACGGUCCUAAGGUAGCGAAAUUCCUUGUCGGGUAAGUUCCGACCUGCACGAAUCGUGAAACGAGUUGGGCACUGUCUCAACCAGGCGCUCAGUGAAAUUGUAGUGGCGGUGAAGAUGCCGCCUACCCGCAGAAGGACGGAAAGACCCUAUAGACCUUAACUGUAAGCUGUCAUUGUUUCUUCGGUUUUAAUGCUCAGAGUAAGUGGGAGACGCUGAAGAUGCCCUUUAGGGGGCAUCCGAGUCAUCAAUGAGACACCACCCUUUGAAACUGGAGGAUCUAACCCUGAGCCGUGAAUCCGGCCAGAGGACCGUGUCAGCCGGUCAGUUUUACUGGGGCGGUAUCCUCCCAAAGAGUAACGGAGGAGCGCGAAGGUGGGCUCAGCCCGGUUGGCAACCGGGUGUCGAGUGCAUGGGCAUAAGCCCGCCUAACUGUGAGACCAACAAGUCGAGCAGAUGCGAAAGCAGGCCCAAGUGAUCCGGCGGUAGAAAGUGGAAUUGCCGUCGCUCAACGGAUAAAAGGUACCUUAGGGAUAACAGGCUGAUCACGCCCAAGAGUUCAUAUCGACGGCGUGGUUUGGCACCUCGAUGUCGGCUCGUCGCAUCCUGGGGCUGGAGAAG
rnacentral:rRNA from 1 species